CACGUAGGGGGCGAGCGUUGUCCGGAUUUAUUGGGCGUAAAGAGCUCGUAGGCGGUUCACUAAGUCGGGGGUGAAACCUCCAGGCUCAACCUGGAGACGCCACCUGAUACUGGUGUGACUAGAGUCCGGUAGGGGAGUGUGGAACUCCUGGUGUAGCGGUGAAAUGCGCAGAUAUCAGGAAGAACACCAGUGGCGAAGGCGGCGAUCUGGGAAGAUACUGACGCUGAGGUGCGAAAGCGUGGGGAGCAAACAGG
rnacentral:rRNA from 1 species